rnacentral:rRNA from 1 species
ACGAACGCUGGCGGCGUGCUUAACACAUGCAAGUCGAGCGGUAAGGCCCUUUCGGGGUACACGAGCGCGAACGGUGAGUAACACGUGGGUGACCUGCCCUUAGCUCUGGGAUAAGCCUGGGAAACUGGGUCUAAUACCGGAUAUGACUCCAUAACGCAUGUUGUGGGGUGGAAAGCCUUGUGCGGCUAGGGAUGGGCCCGCGGCCUA